UACACUCCUGCGGGAGGCAGCAGUGGGGAAUAUUGGACAAUGGGCGCAAGCCUGAUCCAGCCAUGCCGCGUGAGUGAUGAAGGCCCUAGGGUUGUAAAGCUCUUUCACCGGAGAAGAUAAUGACGGUAUCCGGAGAAGAAGCCCCGGCUAACUUCGUGCCAGCAGCCGCGGUAAUACGAAGGGGGCUAGCGUUGUUCGGAAUUACUGGGCGUAAAGCGCACGUAGGCGGAUCGAUCAGUCAGGGGUGAAAUCCCAGGGCUCAACCCUGGAACUGCCUUUGAUACUGUCGAUCUGGAGUAUGGAAGAGGUGAGUGGAAUUCCGAGUGUAGAGGUGAAAUUCGUAGAUAUUCGGAGGAACACCAGUGGCGAAGGCGGCUCACUGGUCCAUUACUGACGCUGAGGUGCGAAAGCGUGGGGAGCAAACAGGAUUAGAUACCCCGGUAGUCCCA
rnacentral:rRNA from 1 species